GAUAAACGCUGGCGGCGUGCCUUAAACAUGCAAGUCGAACGGUCACCGCAAGGUGAUAGUGGCAGACGGCUGAGUAACACGUAAGUAAUCCGUCCUCGAGUGGGGAAUAACUGCGAGAAAUCGUAGCUAAUACCGCAUAGGCUCGUGGUCACACAAGUGGUCGAGAGUAAAGCCGAGAGGUGCUUGAGGGAGAGCUUGCGUCCGAUUAGCUAGUUGGUAGGGUAAAGGCCUACCAAGGCGACGAUCGGUAGCUGGUCUGAGAGGAUGAUCAGCCAGACUGGGACUGAGAGACGGCCCAGACUCCUACGGGAGGCUG
rnacentral:rRNA from 1 species